AUUAAUGUGCCUGAAUAAAAGGGUUAAUUUGAUAGAUUAAAUAAUGAAAAAUUUUAUUAUCUUUGCGGAAAUC
rnacentral:tRNA from 1 species